GACCAAGGAGUCUGACCCGCGCGCGAGUCGCAGGGUCUUGUACAGGCCCCGUGGCGUAGCGAAAGCGAAGCCGAGACGCCCUCCUUAGAGGUGGGCAGCAUCGGCGGCCCGGCGGUUCGGACGGCAGGCCCGGUGAAACGCCGAAAAGCGGACAGCCGGGAUCCCACCGUCUCGCGUCGGAGUCGGAGCGCACGAGUCGGUACCCGAAAGAUGGUGAACUAUGCCUGGCCAGGGCGAAGCCGGAGGAAACUCCGGUGGAGGCCCGAAGCGGUUCUGACGUGCAAAUCGAUCGUCGGAGCGGAGUAUAGGGGCGAAAGACUAAUCGAACCAUCUAGUAGCUGGUUCCCUCCGAAGUUUCCCUCAGGAUAGCUGGCAUUCGUUGUGGAAUCAGUCUCUCCUCGUAGAGAGAAUGAAUAGAGGCCCUGGGGCCCUAGACGACCUCAACCUAUUAUCAAACUACUACGAGGUGCGUCGUCCGUUCCUGCCGAACAGAGGAACGGUUGGAAUCGGAGAUGUAGGAGUGCCGUGUGGGCCAUUUUUG
rnacentral:rRNA from 1 species